ACAUCUGCUGAAGCUCACAUAUAUCUCAAUGUUGAUCUAGGAGCAAGGCUUUCCGUUUCUCACAUGAGUGCUUUUCAUUGGUAAAUCUAGGUCCGUAAUCCUGUCGGCAAGAGAAACAGAAUACUGUGAUUCAGGAAUGGUGAUAAAUUACCAGCAAUCAGAGUUAAUAAUGGGAAAUAACUUUUAUACUAAUCCAGGGAUUCUCCACAGGAAUCUUAAUCAUCUCUCCAGCCCAUAGGGUUUGGGAUUUACUACACUGAUGACAUCCUCUUUGGAUCUGGUUGUUGAGAAUUAACGAAUAUCCUAAGUGCCUUGGUAUGACAACCAAUGUGUCAGAGGUUGUUUUCCUCUAUCUUCAGAUGGGAUAAUUUCAAUGGAUCUACAUUCAAGUUCACUGACACUUUCUUCUGUUGUCUCCAAUCUGCUGUUAAGCCCAUUCGACAUAUUUAUAAUAGCUCCUUUGAAGACCUUGUCUGCUGUUUCCAAUAUCUUGGCCAUCUCAGGGGUUUUCUGUUGAGUACUUUUAAAAAAAUUUCUUAACAGUGAAUUACAUUUUCCUGCUUCUUUGAAGUUUAGGACUUUUUAUUCCACAUUAGGCAUUGUGGGGAGAAAGUGGUAGAAACUGUGCAUUCUGGUAUCUUCCUCCAAAAGUGUUUAUUUUUGUUCUAACAGACAGUUAAAUUACUGGUCAUUCUCUUUGACCUUGUGUAGACCAGGUUUAAUGCUUUGCUACAUUGUUUUAAAAUAUGAAACGUACUGUUUUAAAGACUGAUAUUUCACUAAAUCUAGCUGAGAUACAGUUGAAAGCAACUAUAACAACAACAAAAAACCCAUAAAUGAGUUGAAACAGUUUUACAAAGUAGAUUCAAACAGAAAGAGAGAAAAGAAGAACGAAGACAAGCCUGCUGUCUUCCCAUUGUGCAUAGGACUGAAUGCAAUCUCUUGAAAUUAAGAUUCAUCACCCUUUAGAGUCCCAUCCCAGAGGAAACGUCCAGUUUUCUCAUCUCUGCUAUAUUCUACUAACACGCGGCAGUAGGAUCCAACUCAGUUAGAGUCUCAGAGCUUCUGCAAAUGCUGUUUUCUACACCAAAACACUCUUAUGGUUAAUAUCUUCUAAACACUGCUCACAUGCUACUCACAAAACUUGUUCUAAUUCUAUCAGACAAGGCUGGGUCCUGCAUCCUGAGACCUUCCACAAUACUUUUUUUUCACGUCUCUAUUACAGAUUUUAUUUUACCAUAUCACUUUUCUACAGGAAUUCUUCUUAAACAUUUAUUCAUUUAUUCAACAACAACUACUCUGUACAUAAAACGUACCAGGCAUUGGCCUGGGUGCUCAGGAUGUACUGAUGAAGACAAUACAGAUGACUUCUAGCCUCAGAGUGUAGUGGGUAUUGUAUCCAGAUUUUAUCUUGAGAAGCAGUACUGGACAGUGGUUAAGGGAAUGAACUUUGGAUUACUGGGCAUUGUUUGAAGCCCACCUCUACCAUUUGUGAGCUGUGUGUCCUUAAACAAGUUACUUAAUUUCUCUGUGUCUCAUUUUCACCAUUUGUUAAUUGUAGAUAAUAUUUCAUAGGUUUCUUGUGAGCAGUAAAUAAGUUAAAAUGUAUAAAACAUUUAGAAUGGUGCCUGGCAUAUAAGAACUCAACAAAUACGAUAUUAUUAUUUUUGUCUCUUAGACCUAUAGUAUGAUGUCCAACACGUAGUAGGCACAGACCACAUACUAUUGAAUGAAGGAUUAAAUGAAUGAAUGAAUAUUUCUGCUUCUGGAUUGAAAAAUAUGUAUCAUAUAUUGAAGAAAUUUUAUAUUGCUUCUCUCUUUUCUAGCUAUGUUUCGUAUAAGAAGUUCCGGCUAAAAAUGUUACAAGUGGAUUUCUUAACGCAAUAAUUUGCUAAUCCAAUAAUGUAUUUGCUCCUUCCCUACUGCUUCUUCAUUGGCUCAUUCAUUCCUUCAGCAAAAUAUUUGUGUGUUCUUCUUUAUUAAAAACAAAAUAUGUGACAGCCCUUUUCCUCAGCAGUUUACAAGCUAGAUGGGAAAAUGAUAUAUGUUAAUAACAUACAAGAAAAUGUAGCAUGCAAUGAUUACGCUGAGGGAGUCAAAUGAACCACACAUUUGAAAGCAUGUCCAAACUGCUUGGCAUAUGUUACUUUGAAUUAUAUGGAAUUUCCAACAUUUUAAUGGUUUUAUUAUUCAAAUGACAAUGUUCUGUGGUUCAAAAUAAUAGCAGAUAAUAAAAUAUACAUUCCAUGUAUCAGAAUAAUAUGUCCUUCAGAAGAGGGGAAAUCUUUCAACCAGGCUGACCAAAUAAAACUACAGAAAAGGAGGCAAUUGGAAGAGAUUUGAAGAAAAGCUAGCGCAGGGUCAAGUGAUUCAAAGCAGUGAUUCUCAAAAUGUGGUCCCACAAUUUUCGAUGAGCAUGGGAAAUGAUGACCGAAAUACAGCUAACCUGAAAGAACACUGCUCAGGUAUUUUUUUAAUAGUUAUUUCUUUUCAUUUACUUUUUUUCUCAUGGUAUCCCACUUUCUGAAGCUGGAAAGGGAAGAGAAAAAUCACUCAAGAUAGGGUAUGUCUAAUGAAGUAAACAUUCUUACAAUUAGUUAAAUUUUACAGAUCUAAUAACUUUAUAGAUCUAAUAAUUUUAAACAUCUAAGUCUAUGUACUGUAUGAUAUUUCCCCUGGGUAGUUUUUACUUGAUAUAGCUUCUAAAAUUCCAAAUGACUAAGCUAGUUUUCAGUUAUCUAUUGUGUAGCACUUAAAUAUUCUCCAAGUUACAAAAAUUUUCAUUUUUUUCUUAAUCUACUUAGACAUUCAUUUAGUGAAACACAAUGACGUGCGUUUCAAGGAGUCAGUUCUUUGUUCAAAAUAAUUCAUUUAAUGAAGAGAAGGAUGCCAGACACUCACUACUUAAAGCUCUGCAUAAAAUUAAAAACACCGUGUGAAUUUAAAAGAAGGAUUUUCAGUAAAGUUUCAUGCUUUAAAGUGAAGUAAUUUGACUCUAAUUAAAGAUAGACUGUUGUUGAUAUUUCUCGCUUGCAAGCUUGGGUUUAUGCUUUUUUAAAGAGGAAAUUUCAAAUGAUGUGUGUGUUAUUUAUGAUAACUGCACUUAGCCGAGGAAGAAUGUUGACUAGAUUUAAUAUUAAUUUGUAUGCCUUCAGUACUGAUAAUGUUAUUUCAGUAUCUUCACACAAGAUGAAAAUAAGCAAAAUAACUACUCAGUUUUUGAACAAAAUCUCAUAUUACUACUAAAGCAAUGUGUUUUGUCUAAAGGACUUAUUAAAAAAUUACUUCAAUAUGCUAACUAACCUGGUCAUUAUUCUGUUACAAAUAUCAGUUGCAUUCCUUAAACAAUUAUAAAUACAAAUGAAUAUAUAAAGAGGCAAUAGCAUUUUCAUGCUGUGGAAUUGCCUCUGAACUGAGAUUUAGGAGAUCUCUGCUCAUCACCUGGGAAAUGAGAGAUCUAAAUUAGAUAGCCUUUAUCAUCUCCAAACUUCCAGGAUACUAAUAUUAGAUCCACAAAGAAUUCUGAAACUAGGAUAACACCUUAAUGGAAAAUGCAAAUGGUCUGCCAGAAAAUAAGCUAUAUGUUUUGUCCUUUUUUCCCCGUAGUUUAAUCUCAGUCUGUACACAUCUUUUGUGUUUAGAAAAACAUUUUUUUUAUACACAUAGAAGAGAUAUUUAACUGAAAACCCAUUCAAUCAGCAUUAACCCAGUGGAAGGAUUGAAAAUAGUCUCAUUUUUUUUUGAGGAAGAUUAGUCCUGAGUUAGCAUCUGCUGCCGAUCCUCCUCUUUUUGCUGAGGAAGACUGGCCCUGAGCUAACAUCCGUGCCCAUCUUCCUCCACUUUAUCUGUGGGACGCCUACCACAGCAUGGCUUGCCAUGCGGUGCCAUGUCCACACACAGGAUCCAAACCAGUGAACCCCGGGCCGCUGAAGCAGAACGUGCGUAGUUAACUGCUGCGCCACUGGGCCGGCCCCAAGAAAAUACAGUCUUUAACUUUGAUCAAAUUAUCUGUUCCACAGUUGAUCCCACUUGCAAAAUAAACAUAUUUUUACAGAAUCAACCAGAGGCAAAUCUGUGAAGAAUCUAUAGGAAGACAUCUUCCUGCAUCCCAAACAUUUAUUCUUCAUGCUGGGCUCCUCCUUCCAUUAUCGUCUGAUCUUUUCUAACCUUGGCAGUUGUUCUUUUUCCCCACUAAUACUGAGACGGGUUUGCACCUGAUUCUUCUCAAUAGGGCAAGCGCUCAGCAGUUUAAGGUAUGAUCCUAUCCAGUGAGAAAUACAUGGAUUUUAAUACUGAGGACCCAAAGGAGUGAAUACAUAAGUGAUGAAAUCUCAAUAUUAUACUAUAUAAUUACUUAAAAAUAUAUAUCCAUAUAAAGGACACAAUAGUCAAAAAUCAUAUAUUUCAGGUGCAAAUUAACAAAAUUAAGAUUGGAUUUUUUACAUUAUAUCAGGGUAUUUUGACAUUAUGAAGACAGAAAAACUCAUUUUAAUUUUUGUUAUGAAGCAUACCCACAUUAUGCUACAUUGAUGACUUAUGGAGGGGAUGUUUACAUGACCAAUUAGUGGCUAUAUUGCAGUGGAUAGAGUAACAUGUGAAAAAGAGUUUUCAAUCCUUUCAACCUUUUUACUAGCUUUCCUACUUCAGUUACUGAGACUUCACCAGGAAAACGUAUAGAAAAAAACUUUUGGAAAAAAUUUAUUUAAAAGAUACAAAAUACAAACAGAAAACUUUUUACUGGAUUGCUGGUUAUGAGAAAUGUAUGGACACUUGUCAAAUAUAUCAAUCAUUUAUAGUUAGUAAAUUUAUCUAACUUCUUCAAAAGAAUUUAUGUCAAUAAUUAACUUACUCUGUCAUUGGUAGUUGAGUAGGAAUGGGAAUUCCGGAAGCCUGGACUCAGGAUACUAUACAACUAACACAGAAGGAAGACAGGAUAAAUGACAAAAAGCACUCCUUAAGAAAGACAGUUUACCAAAAGCAACAUCAUAAAAAGUUGUCUGAGCAGUUCUAUAUCUGUUGAAGAAAUUGAAUCUGUUACUUAAAGUCUUCAUAAAAAAAUAAAACUCCA
ensembl:lncRNA